UCACGUAUCCUUAGGAUCCUCUUGGCUGUGACAGUUUCACAGACUUUCCUGUUUUUUCAUGACCUUGAGAGUUUGAAGGAGUCUUGGAGAUAAACCACAGUGGUGAACUGCUGUUGUCAUCAUAUCACAUCAAGGGCCCAGAUUAACAACAUGAUUUAUCACUCUUGAUGUUUACCUUCAAUAAUUUGCCAAGGACUUCCAGUAUGAUAUUGAACAGGACUGGUGAAGAAGUGAUGCCUUUUCCUCAGUCUUUCAAAGAAAGCAUACAGUUUUUCACCAUUGGGUAUGAUGUUGUCUGUAGGUUUUUGACAUCAAAUAAUAUUUCUAGUUUGCUGGCAGUGUUUGUUAUAAACAUGUGUUGGGUUUUGUCAAAUGCUUUUUUCACAUUAAUUGAUAUGAUUACAUGAUAUUUUUCUUCUUUUGACUAUUGAUGUGGUAGG